rnacentral:rRNA from 1 species
UAAGGAAUAUUGGACAAUGGUCGCAAGACUGAUCCAGCCAUGCCGCGUGCAGGAAGACGGCCCUAUGGGUUGUAAACUGCUUUUGUACCAGAGAAAACCUAUCUACGUGUAGAUAGCUGAUAGUAUGGUAAGAAUAAGCAUCGGCUAACUUCGUGCCAGCAGCCGCGGUAAGACGAAGGAUGCAAGCGUUAUCCGGAUUCAUUGGGUUUAAAGGGUGCGUAGGCGGGCUUGUAAGUCAGUGGUGAAAUCUCUCAGCUUAACUGAGAAACUGCCAUUGAUACUGCAGGCCUAGAGUAUAGAUGACGUUGGCGGAAUAUGACAUGUAGUGGUGAAAUGCUUAGAUAUGACAUAGAACACCAAUUGCGAAGGCAGCUUACUAUAUAAUUAUUGACACUGAGGCACGAAAGCGUGGGUAGCGAACA